CAGCCGCCACGGUAAUACGUAGGUGGCAAGCGUUGUCCGGAAUUAUUGGGCGUAAAGGGCUCGCAGGCGGUUUCUUAAGUUUGAUGUGAAAGCCCCCGGCUCAACCGGGGAGGGUCAUUGGAAACUGGGAAACUUGAGUGCAGAAGAGGAGAGUGGAAUUCCACGUGUAGCGGUGAAAUGCGUAGAGAUGUGGAGGAACACCAGUGGCGAAGGCGACUCUCUGGUCUGUAACUGACGCUGAGGAGCGAAAGCGUGGGGAGCGAACAGGAUUAGAUACCCCAGUAGUCCCUGUCUCUUAUAC
rnacentral:rRNA from 1 species